rnacentral:rRNA from 1 species
UUGUCCGGAAUUAUUGGGCGUAAAGCGCGCGCAGGCGGUCUCUUAAGUCUGAUGUGAAAGCCCACGGCUCAACCGUGGAGGGUCAUUGGAAACUGGGGGACUUGAGGGCAGGAGAGGAGAGCGGAAUUCCACGUGUAGCGGUGAAAUGCGUAGAGAUGUGGAGGAACACCAGUGGCGAAGGCGGCUCUCUGGCCUGCACCUGACGCUGAGGCGCGAAAGCGUGGGGAGCAAACAGGAUUAGGUACCCUGGUAGUCCACGCCGUAAACGAUGAGUGCUAAGUGUUAGGGGGGUCACACCCUUUAGUGCUGCAGCUAACGCGAUAAGCACUCCGCCUGGGGAGUACGGCCGCAAGGCUGAAACUCAAAGGAAUUGACGGGGGCCCGCACAAGCGGUGGAGCAUGUGGUUUAAUUCGAAGCAACGCGAAGAACCUUACCAGGUCUUGACAUCCCCUGACAACCCAAGAGAUUGGGCGUUCCCCCUUCGGGGGGACAGGGUGACAGGUGGUGCAUGGUUGUCGUCAGCUCGUGUCGUGAGAUGUUGGGUUAAGUCCCGCAACGAGCGCAACC